UACGUAGGGUGCAAGCGUUAAUCGGAAUUACUGGGCGUAAAGCGUGCGCAGGCGGCUUUGCAAGACAGAUGUGAAAUCCCCGGGCUCAACCUGGGAACUGCAUUUGUGACUGCAUGGCUAGAGUGCGGCAGAGGGGGAUGGAAUUCCGCGUGUAGCAGUGAAAUGCGUAGAGAUGUGGAGGAAUACCGAUGGCGAAGGCAGCCCCCUGGGAUGACACUGACGCUCAUGCACGAAAGCGUGGGGAGCAAACGAGG
rnacentral:rRNA from 1 species